GAUGAACGCUGGCGGCGUGCCUAAUACAUGCAAGUCGAGCGAACAGACGAGGAGCUUGCUCCUCUGACGUUAGCGGCGGACGGGUGAGUAACACGUGGAUAACCUACCUAUAAGACUGGGAUAACUUCGGGAAACCGGAGCUAAUACCGGAUAAUAUAUUGAACCGCAUGGUUCAAUAGUGAAAGUCGGUUUUGCUGGCACUUAUAGAUGGAUCCGCGCCGCAUUAGCUAGUUGGUAAGGUAACGGCUUACCAAGGCGACGAUGCGUAGACGAACUGAGAGGGUGAUAGCCCACACUGGAACUGAGACACGGUCCAGACUCCUACGGGAGGCAGCAGUAGGGAAUCUUCCGCAAUGGGCGAAAGCCUGACGGAGCAACGCCGCGUGAGUGAUGAAGGUCUUCGGAUCGUAAAACUCUGUUAUUAGGGAAGAACAAAUGUGUAAGUAACUAUGCACGUCUUGACGGUACCUAAUCAGAAAGCCACGGCUAACUACGUG
rnacentral:rRNA from 1 species